CUCCUAAAGAGUAGCGGAGGCGUUCAAAGGUUGGCUAGCUACGGAUGGAAAUCGUAGCGAUAGUGUAUGCGCAAAAGCCAGCUUGACUGUGAGGGCCACAACCCAAUCAGACACGAAAGUGGGAGCAAAUGACCCGCUGUACAGAACUUCGGUUCAAUUUACGUGGGAAAGACAGCGCACACGGAUAAAAGUUACCCUGGGGAUAACAGGCUGAUCGCGCCCAAUAGUUCACAUAGACGGCGCGGUUUGGCACCUCGAUGUCGGCUCAUCACAUCCUGGAGGGGGAGCACCUUCCAAGGGUCCGGCUGUUCGCCGGUUAAAGUGGUACGCGAGCUGGGUUCAGAACGUCGUGAGACAGUUCGGUUUAUAUCCGGCAUGAUCGUUAGGAAUUUUGAGGAGAUCUACCCUUAGUACGAGAGGACCGGGGCGGACGAACCUCUAGUGUAUCGGUUGUGACCACCUGUUGCAUUGCCGAGUAGCUAUGUUCGGAAGAGAUAAGCGCUGAAAGCAUAUUAAGCGCGAAGCCCACUCCAAGAUUAGAAUUCCCUAUGAGCUCCCAGAGAGAAGAUCUGGUUGAUAGGUGCAAGAUGGAAGUAUCGUAAGAUAUGGAGUCGAAGCAUACUAAUAGAGCCAUCGCCUU
rnacentral:rRNA from 1 species